CCUACGGGAGGCAGCAGUAGGGAAUCUUCCACAAUGGGCGAAAGCCUGAUGGAGCAACGCCGCGUGGGUGAAGAAGGUCUUCGGAUCGUAAAACCCUGUUGUCAGAGAAGAAAGUGCGUGAGAGUAACUGUUCACGUUUCGACGGUAUCUAACCAGAAAGCCACGGCUAACUACGUGCCAGCAGCCGCGGUAAUACGUAGGUGGCAAGCGUUAUCCGGAUUUAUUGGGCUUAAAGGGAACGAAGGCGGUCUUUUAAGUCGGAGGUGAAAGCCUUCGGCUAAACCGGAGUAGUGCAUUGAAAACUGGGAGACUUGGGUGCAGAAGGGGAAGGGGAAACUCAAUGUGUAGCGGUGAAAUGCG
rnacentral:rRNA from 1 species